AGAGUUUGAUCCUGGCUCAGGACGAACGCUGGCGGCGUGCCUAAUACAUGCAAGUCGAACGCUUCUUUCCUCCCGAGUGCUUGCACUCAAUUGGAAAGAGGAGUGGCGGACGGGUGAGUAACACGUGGGUAACCUACCCAUCAGAGGGGGAUAACACUUGGAAACAGGUGCUAAUACCGCAUAACAGUUUAUGCCGCAUGGCAUAAGAGUGAAAGGCGCUUUCGGGUGCCGCUGAUGGAUGGACCCGCGGUGCAUUAGCUAGUUGGUGAGGUAACGGCUCACCAAGGCCACGAUGCAUAGCCGACCUGAGAGGGUGAUCGGCCACACUGGGACUGAGACACGGCCCAGACUCCUACGGGAGGCAGCAGUAGGGAAUCUUCGGCAAUGGACGGAAGUCUGACCGAGCAACGCCGCGUGAGUGAAGAAGGUUUUCGGAUCGUAAAACUCUGUUGUUAGAGAAGAAUAAGGACGUUAGUAACUGAACGUCCCCUGACGGUAUCUAACCAGAAAGCCACGGCUAACUACGUGCCAGCAGCCGCGGUAAUACGUAGGUGGCAAGCGUUGUCCGGAUUUAUUGGGCGUAAAGCGAGCGCACGCGGUUUCUUAAGUCUGAUGUGAAAGCCCCCGGCUCAGCCGGGGAGGGUCAUUGGAAAACUGGGAGACUUGAGUGCAGAAGAGGAGAGUGGAAAUUCCAUGUGUAGCGGUGAGAAUGCGUAGAUAUAUGGAGGAACACCAGUGGCGAAAGCGGCUCUCUGGUCUGUACUGACGCUGA
rnacentral:rRNA from 1 species